UACGGGGGGGGCAAGCGUUGUUCGGAAUUACUGGGCGUAAAGGGCUCGUAGGCGGCCAACUAAGUCAGACGUGAAAUCCCUCGGCUUAACCGGGGAACUGCGUCUGAUACUGGCCGCCUCGAGGGAGGUAGGGGCAUGCGGAACUUCCGGUGGAGCGGUGAAAUGCGUAGAUAUCGGAAGGAACGCCGGUGGCGAAAGCGGCGUGCUGGACCUCUUCUGACGCUGAGGCGCGAAAGCCAGGGGAGCGAACGGG
rnacentral:rRNA from 1 species